rnacentral:misc_RNA from 1 species
AAGAAUAGUUCAUGUACAAUAUACUGCCAUGUAAUAAAAGCAUAAACAAAGACGAUAAUCACAGUUCAGUAACACGGUAUGCCCUAAUCAAGUAUUCUGCAGAGAAAACAUGUUAAAGGGUAUACACUUCUUAUUAUUUAUACCCGCACAUGAGCUAUGACAACCAGUCUUCCCCUUUCUAACCGUCCGACUGCAUGCCCCUCAGCAUGUUCAGAAUGGACAGGAAGAGGUUGAGGAUGUCGAUAUAGAGCACAACUGACGCCCAGAUGUAUUGGUCGUAGGUGUAGCGCUUUAUCAAUUUUUCUGUGUCAUAGAUGAUGAAACCAGAGAAAAAGACCGCCCCAACUCCACCUAUAAUGGCAUGUGUUGUAGGUCCGAGCGGGAACAUUACCUGGAUAAAACUUGUCAUCAGAAGAACAACUAGACCGGAAGACAAGAGUGGUGCAAGAAAGCUGAAGUCCUUGCCCUUCCUUGAAGCCCAAAAUGUGUAUCCAGUCAAGGCCGAAACAACGGCAGAUGUCAAAAUCAAUGCCUCAAGAACAAUUUUUCCUUGGGUAUUCGCACAAGCCACACCAACACUUAGACUUAGGGAAAUUGUGAACAGGCCAAGAAAGAUGAAAUUGAGUGGAUGCUUUUCCUGAUAGUAAUACAAUGGGCACAUCAGGAAGAGGGGGAUGAAAACGAAGACGAGGGUGAGACCCGGGCUAGCGCGGAGGAGAUCGUUUAUAGGCACGUAGAGCACGGUGGCGGCGGAGACGACGGUGGUGAGGAGGAUCUGGACGGCGAGGAUGCUGUAAACCUUGCGGAUGAAUCCCCAUCGGAGCUCGUUCUCGCCGCGGCUCAGGCCUGGGUAGAGGGUGCCGGCCUCCAAGUCGCCGAGGCUCUUCUCAUCGAUCCGAGAGAAUCCGUGCAUCAUUGCCGACGGAUUUGAU